rnacentral:lncRNA from 1 species
UAUAAAAAUAUAUUGUAAAUGUAUAUUAUUUUACACGUAAAAUUUAUUGUAUCAAUAACAGACACUACCACUAUUAAGUUGGAGAAAACAAUUCUGGUAUUUUUACAAAAAUACACUGUUAUCAAUAAAAAUUCGCUACGUGAAAUGGCGCUUAACAAUUUUUAACAAAUAUUCAAAACAAAUGGAGGAAACAUCCCCUGCGCAAUAGUCAUAUGAUGCGGCAUAUGUGCACAUCUGCAUUUCGCAUAGGCAUGCCUAAAAGGGUACACGAAACUCGAUUAGAAAUCGGCAUUUUGCGCCAAAGCAUUGCGCGAAUGAAUCAUUUUCACGCUCUGAGAAAACUUGUGAGUAACUCGAGUGAAUAGAAGAGCAGCGGCGUUGCACGCGAAUGAUUAUCAUUACUGCAAUCAUGUCCCAACGUUCGUCUUUCACCGCAAGCUUUUCCGACAAAUGAUAAAGUCAUUUGCGCGAGCAAUUGCGGGGGAGAAGCCAUGAAUUCAAAUUGCUGCCACGAAUUUUUAAUUAAGAAGGAACGCCAUCACGGAUAAGCACGGAAACAGAGCAUCCUUGCAGAAAAUACAAUCGCGUCGUUAGAACUUCUCACCUUUUCCAAGCGCUUCCGCCUUUUUCCACGGCGUCGUUUAUAGCCAGAACAACUUGCUCGGAAUGCUUGCAACAGCAAUCGGCGAUACGCUCCUAUUUCUCAACAGACACAAUGAAACGAAACUCACUUGAUGUCUUUCCCGAUCUCAUUGUUAUAUUCCUCGUUAUCGCGACAGUCGCGCGCAGCACUCGGGUGAUUUUUCUCGUUUUCUGUAUUGCAACGUUGUUAAAAUUGAUUUCCACAUUUACUGCGUUUACUGGAGGAUACGACAUGGCGGAACUUGUUCUAUAUAGUUUGCGAUACUUGCAGUUUAACAUUCCGAGUCCUGUUUAAAAGUUUCUGAGAAGGUUGCGCACAGGUACGAGUGCAGGUUGUUACGAAAAGACUCACUUCCGUUUUUAUCAGUUUUUAUGUCUUUUUUUCUUUUUCUUCUUCUCCUGCGAUAUCGCUACGACAUUUUCAUUUAUUUCAAUGCACACAAAAAAGCGCGAUAUCAUGAAUAAUUACGUUUAGCGUAUGCUUUAUUUUAUCAAACUACGUAAUGUUUUUGCUACAAAUAUUUGACAUUAAUAUGUUCUCCUUUUCCACGCUAGGGAAAGGAACAAAGAGAGAAAAGAGAGAACUUUUCUAUCUGGAUGUCUAAUUUUCAUACCAGUUCAGACAAUGGCAAUGUGAUUUAGUGAUAAAGCAUCAGAUUUGUAAUCACGAGGAACCAGUUCAAGUCCCCAUUUAGUCGCAGAAAUUUUAUUCGAAAUUGCGUCCUUUAUACAUCGAGUGGGAAGACUCGAGUAUGGAAAACUGAUAUCUCCAUCUUUCGAAAGAGACGUUAAAUCGCUGUGCUAGCCUCUUCCCAUCCAAUAGCUUCAUGAACUUCAUUAAGGUGCUGGAAGCAAAUCCCUUACACCCGAAACCUGAAAUAAUUAAAUGAAAAAGAAGACACCCGGACGGUCAAACCGAGAUGAGUGGGCAAUUCUUCUUUCUAUGCAAAUUUCAACAAUGGAAAGUAAAAAACGAAGAAAGGAAAGAAUCUAAGAAUUAAUGCGAAAUUUAAUAAUUAAGUGUGUUCACACAUCCAUGUGUCUUUUCCUAUUUUCAUUUAAUCAUUUUAAAUUUUGGGUGUAUAAAAGAUUAGUCUGUAACAUCUUAAUGAAAUUCAUAAAGCUGCUAGAUGAGGAGGAGGUAACACAACAGUUUACCAACUAUAUGUGGACCAGCGGUUUAACAUCUCGAAAAGGAAGGGGAUGAACUAAGAAGAAGAAGAAGAAGAGUAAUCUGAUUUUUAAUUUAAUCUAUUUUUAAUCUACUCUACUUGAGCAGACUUGAUAAUCAGUCGCACAUACUUUCUAUUACAUUGUAGUAAAAAGUUUAUCAGAUAACUAUUUUCUUUCAUAAUUUUACAAUAUUUAAUUUUUAAUGUUUUGAUACCUAUCUAAAUCUUUUUAUUGAAAUUCUGUUUUAAGUAAAAUCCAUUCAAGAGUAUGAGCAUGGAAUAAUGAUAUACGCUAUUUAAACCAUUUUAAUGCGUGAAAAGUUUUAUAUAAAACUUUAUUCGUUUAUACUGAAAUUAAAUUAUACAUGACUCUGUAUUAAAGCAAAUGGAUUUUAUUUUUCAUUUAUCCUAUUGUAUUAAUUUAUCCUAUUAUAGAUAUGUGGGUAGGUUGAAAGAAAAAAAUAUGAUUCUUGCAUGGUUACGUGUGUAAUCCGUUCUAUUUAUUAACAUUUUCAACACAUAUCGAGUUACAGCGAAUUUAAAAAGUGUAAUAUACUACAUUCGAAACUUUUCUCUCGAUUUUGCAGAACAUGAUCGAAAAAUAGAGCAUGAUAAAUGUAUGAGGAAAAUUUGGUUGAAAUCGGAAUAAAACACUAUCCCUGACAGUCAUCGAUACUAUGCUGAAUGUGAAUUUCCGCUUCGUGAACAGCAAAAAUGCAAAAUUGUGUCAUAUGAAAACAAUCCACCAAAGGACUUUGCUUCGAAGUGAUACUUCAAACAUAUCGAUUUUUGCGUAUCUCGAAGAAAUUCGACAAGUUUCGGGCACACCAAAGGAAACGACUAUUCUUACGGCAACAAUUCUAUUGAAGAGUAUCGUAAUUUUCAAGCUAGCAGGAAUGCAUAAUGUUCAGUUAAAAUUACAUAAUUAAUUAUUAAUUAUUAUAUGUAGCGAGAAGCAAUUAACUUUUAAGCUAAAAGAAAAAUAAUUUUUAUGAAGCAAGCUUUCUUUGAUUUAUGGAAAAAAUUAAAAUAAUAGCAUACCUUUUUCAUUACGUGAUAUGUUACAUUAUCAUUUACAUUAAUAUUUCGAAAUUUUAUAUAAAAUUGUUUUUAUGACAUAUGUUAUCAAUUUCUCAUAAAUCGGACAACGAAUAAAAUUCUUACUGCAACAGAGAUCAUCCAAAUGAUAACAAUAAAAAUACACCAGAUAAACAUAAGUGCUCUUAUGCCGCAUUUGCGUAAUAAGGUCACCUGUUACAUCACUUGUUACGUUGCAUGCAUGACGCUGACAAAUCGCGCGCGAAAAGUGGUUUUUCCAUUUACGCUUGCCCCGUCCAUUUUAAUAAACUAUGUCGAAUAAUCAUCGUCAACUCGCACUGUGCCAUGAAUGCGAAGCGAUACGAUAUCGAAUUAUUAAUCGAUUCCCUUGUUAAUACAAUUUCAUCACACAGUUUAGCGUUCCAUUAUCGAGACACGUAGUUUUUCUUCUAUUGUAUGUUAACAUUCGACAUGAUAUGUUUUUAUCUUAAUAACAGUUCUAUAUUAUAUUACAAUAUAACAAUAUAUCAAUAACGUAAUAUAUAUGCUCGUAUAUAUUUAUUUUCUAAUAAUAUGGCCCAAUUAACAUCGCAAGUAUCAAGCAUUAUCCAUGGAAAAUACACGGAAAACUCGCAUGUGUGAAUAAUAUGUACAAACACAAUCAUGAAAAUUAGUGAAUAAUUUCAAUAUUAUAGUUAUUAGUAGUAAUUGCUCGAUUUAAUAUUUCAUCGAGUGAGCAGGGUGCAUGAGUUACCGUGAGCGUAAAUGUGGCGCGAAACCUAUGUUGCAGGAUACCUUAAGGGCGCGAACACCGUGCUUCUGCAUAUAUCUCAAAGGAGGUAGGGCUCUAUAUGCGAACCUUGACUUGCAAAUUAGUUUAUUAUUUUCGCACUCGAGAUAACCGUAUCGUCACCUACCUUUAGAGACGUACGACGAGGUAAUGCGCCUGACCCACAGGCGAAGUACAGCCCUGUAAUUGGACACCGCUAAUGCAUCCCACCCCCGUUCGUCGAACGUGGAUGGAAUAAGGUAGCUGCGACGAAGUCGACCGCGGAACGGAAACUACGAGAGGAGGACAAAGACGACGCGGGAGGAAAAGCCUCCUGCUGGUGCGAUGAGUGUCGUUAUUUAGUUUGAUCGUGCGACCGAUCUAUUCUCCUCUACCACGGCUGGUAUCUUCCAUCUCGAUUCGUCGCGACGCUCCGAUGGCGCCUCGUCCAGUUUUCCCGCUCAGUCAUGUCUCUCUUGCCUUCGCUCUUGAUUUUUCCGACAACGUCCAACCGUUUUCACAUGGUUUCCUCGCCGCAUGAUGCACUCGGCUGCAUUUCCAUUCGCAUCUACGUCGACCGCUUCACGGUUUAGCAUUUUUAUUUUCCGCGAGGCUUCUCCUUUCUCUCGUCCAUUCGAAGCUAGCUCUGCUCGUUCCGUCGACUAUAAUGCGCACGCGUUUUCUCAUACUUGUCUCUUCACCCUCCUGUCCUAUUUGCCCCUUCCUUCCAUUGCCAUGCCUUCUAUCUCCCCGGCGUUUACUUCCCGUUUCCAAACCGAAUCCCCAUUCUUUGGUAUCUACUUGAACGUGAAGCACAACCGUGCCCACUUCAAACCGCGAUGACCUAGAUACGACCUUAUCGCUCGAUCCUAUAACGCGUCGUUCUAUCGUACCCUGCCUCUCUCUCCGACUCAGAUUCCGCAGCUUCGGAGAGCUUUAAUUUCUCUCGCAGCUCAAAGAUGCUAAGCUCGAGAUAGGAUCGACGACCCUCGAACGUUUCAAGGGUUCGCAAUGGUACCCGGCACGGCCAUAUUUCGUUCUUGCGAGAGAGCGCGAUAAUCCAGCCAAACUUUCAUUUACCGAAGAUGGUACUCAAUUCGAGCUCGAAGACAAAGAGGGAGGACAAGGAGAGAGGAGUGGCCUCGAUAAAUGGCACCAAAGAAAUUGAAUCUAUUACACGGCAGAUUCGACGAUGAAACGCCGAAGGGGUUUAUCCUGUUCCGCGCCACUAUUCUCCAAAGUCGAAUGUUCUUUUCGGCCACCCUUUCGCGCUCCUCCAUGGAUAACAAAAAACUCGAUAGGAUCGCUCAUUAUACAGCGUAUAAAUCCAACAUCACGUCACAUUGACCUCUUAUUGAAAAAUUCCACGUGCAGAGAUGAAAACCCAGCCCUGCGACUUACGAGACUCUUGUACAUGUAAUUGCACAAGAGCAUCACAGCAUAAAUUGAGGAUUUCAACCAGAGUGACGCGCGUCCGACAGUUUACAGUAAAUCAAAUAACUGGCACCAGCAAGCUAAAAAGUUUGACGUUAAACGGAUUUCUGGCGCGACGAUAACCAAGGCUUCGUUUACCAAAGGAUGAGACGAGCCUGGAUGUAGGGAGAAAUAGAAAUUGAAUAUAUUACAACCCCGAAGCGUCGCCGUACAAGGCCAAAGCGCAGGGUCGUCUAUCUUACUGAUUUUCUUUGCAAACUCGCUCGCUCCUUAGGCGAUGCAUUCACAUCGCCUCUGAGCUCAGAAUAUUGCCAGCUAUAUGGCGUUUAUUACUGACGAAUAAAUCACUUGUGAAUUUCAUGCAGGCUUGUUUAUUUUAUAUGUGAUUUUAUGCAUAUCAUGUAUAUUGGUACGAUUUAUUUAACAUAACAUAAUUAAUAUUUAUAUAUUAAAUGUAAAAUGUAUUUAGUCAAUCAGAAUGUCUAACGAAAAUACAUUAGUUAUUUAUUAUUUUCUUGUUUGUGAUUACUUUUGUCUGACUUCAUCGAGAUUUUAUUAAUCUCGAUUUAAGUAAUUUAUAUUGUUAGGCGUAUUUUCGUCUUUGCCGAUUGAUAAAAAUAAAAUCUCCUCAAAGUUACACCGAUAUUUACCUUUAAUUGGAAAUUCAUCAAAGUUGUAUAAUUUAUGAAAAAUAUAAAAUUUCAAAGAAAAAAA